GCUUUGGAUCAGGUCCCAGAGGAUGUCAGAGCUCUGCCAGCCCUACUGAAAAACUGUAGUCCAAAUGCUGGCGUGCUAUUUGGCAAGCCACAACCAUAAGGUUAAGCAGAGGUUGCCAGAUGUAUCCUCCAUGGAGAGAAUCCUGGUGUUGCUUCCAAGAAGACCCAAAGGACAUGCAAUCUGGUGGUAGUGAAUUAUUCAAGAAGAUGCCACUAACAUUUUAAAGAGGCUGGCAUCCUUGCCUGGAGCUGACAGAAGGACCCAGACAGCUUGACGUGUUCAAGUAAAGCAAAAAAUAUGUCAGUCAGGAACAGUGGCAGUUCCGAAGCAGCUGUGUGACCCUUCAACACCCUCCCGUGUGAGGCUAGAAGGGGUGAAAGAGCCCUGCUUUAUUCCGUUGCCACAUCCAAGUUAAUAUCCUGAUACUUCAAAAUUUGGCUAUGAACAGCUUCUAAUUCAAGCUGGCUGUCCUCAGCAACAAAGAAAAAUGUAAAUGCACACUGAUGGUUAUGUAGUGCGCUGUUUUAGACAAUG